rnacentral:rRNA from 1 species
CCUACGGGGGGCAGCAGUGAGGAAUAUUGGUCAAUGGGCGCGAGCCUGAACCAGCCAAGUAGCGUGAAGGAUGACUGCCCUACGGGUUGUAAACUUCUUUUAUAAAGGAAUAAAGUGAGGCACGUGUGCCUUUUUGUAUGUACCUUAUGAAUAAGGAUCGGCUAACUCCGUGCCAGCAGCCGCGGUAAUACGGAGGAUCCGAGCGUUAUCCGGAUUUAUUGGGUUUAAAGGGAGCGUAGACGGGUUGUUAAGUCAGUUGUGAAAGUUGGCGGCUCAACCGUAGAAGUGCAAUUGAUACUGGCAGGCUUGAGUGCAGUAGAGGUAGGCGGAAUUCGUGGUGUAGCGGUGAAAUGCUUAGAUAUCACGAAGAACUCCGAUUGCGAAGGCAGCUUACUAAACUGCCACUGACAUUGAUGCUCGAAAGUGUGGGUAUCAAACAGGAUUAGAUACCCGAGUAGUC